GACGAACCGUGCGAACGUUAUUCGGAGUCACUGGGCUUAAAGCGCGUGUAGGCGGGGUGGCACGUCCGUCGCUGAAAUCCCCCGGCUCAACCGGGGAACGGGCGCGGAUACGACCAUCCUCGAGGGACGUAGGGGGACCUGGAACUUCCGGUGGAGCGGUGAAAUGCGUUGAGAUCGGAAGGAACGCCCGUGGCGAAAGCGAGGUCCUGGACGUCUGCUGACGCUGAGACGCGAAAGCCAGGGGAGCGAACGGG
rnacentral:rRNA from 1 species